rnacentral:rRNA from 1 species
ACGGAAGGCAGCAGUAGGGAAUCUUCGGCAAUGGGGGCAACCCUGACCGAGCAACGCCGCGUGAGUGAAGACGGUUUUCGGAUCGUAAAGCUCUGUUGUAAGAGAAGAACGUGUGUGAGAGUGGAAAGUUCACACAGUGACGGUAACUUACCAGAAAGGGACGGCUAACUACGUGCCAGCAGCCGCGGUAAUACGUAGGUCCCGAGCGUUGUCCGGAGUUAUUGGGCGUAAAGCGAGCGCAGGCGGUUUAAUAAGUCUGAAGUUAAAGGCAGUGGCUUAACCAUUGUUCGCUUCGGAAACUGUUAGACUUGAGUGAAGAAGGGGAGAGUGGAAGUCCAUGUGUAGCGGUGAAAUGCGUAGAUAGAUGGAGGAACACCGGUGGCGAAAGCGGCUCUCUGGUCUGUAACUGACGCUGAGGCUGGAGAGCGUGGGGAGCAAACAGGAUGAGAU